CAGGAAUGAACACAAACACGCCCUUGUAGCUGGACAGAUGGGAGCCCGAGAGCUCAGGUGCUGGAGCGCUGCGUUUGUCAGUGAAGCUCGUACCAAGGAAAAAGAAGUCAAGCCUCA